rnacentral:rRNA from 1 species
UUGAUCCUGGCUCAGAUUGUACGCUAGCGGCAUGCCUAACACAUGCAAGUCGAACGGGACAGCGCGGAGAGAACUUGUUUUUCUCUAGCGAGUUGAGUGGCGAACGGGUGAGUAAUGCGUAGGAAUCUACCUUUUAGAGGGGGAUAACCCGAGGAAACUCGGGCUAAUACCGCGUAGUAUCUCUUUUCAUAGAAAAGUUGAAGAAAGCGGGGAUCCUUGAGUUUUUUUAAGGACCUCGCGCUAAAAGAUGAGCCUGCGUCGGAUUAGUUAGUUGGUGGGGUAAUAGCCCACCAAGACGAUGAUCCGUAGCUGGUCUGAGAGGAUGAUCAGCCACACUGGGACUGAGACACGGCCCAGACUCCUAUGGGAGGCAGCAGUGGGGAAUAUUGGACAAUGGGGGAAACCCUGAUCCAGCAAUGCCGCGUGUGUGAAGAAGGCCUUCGGGUUGUAAAGCACUUUCAGCAGGAAAGAAAGUCUUAAAGUUAAUACCUUUAAUGAGUUGACGUUACCUGCAGAAGAAGCACUGGCUAACUCUGUGCCAGCAGCCGCGGUAAUACAGAGAGUGCAAGCGUUAAUCGGAAUUACUGGGCGUAAAGCGCGCGUAGGUGGAUAUUAAAGUCGGGUGUGAAAGCCCCGAGCUUAACUCGGGAAUUGCGUUCGAUACUGAGUAUCUAGAGUAUAGUAGAGGGAAGUGGAAUUUCCGGUGUAGCGGUGAAAUGCGUAGAUAUCGGAAGGAACACCAGUGGCGAAGGCGGCUUCCUGGACUAAUACUGACACUGAGGUGCGAAAGCGUAGGGAGCAAACAGGAUUAGAUACCCUGGUAGUC